AUUGAACGCUGGCGGCAGGCCUAACACAUGCAAGUCGAACGAGUGGCGGACGGGUGAGUAAUGUCUGGGACACUUCCUGGUGGAGGGGGAUAACUACUGGAAACGGUAGCUAAUACCGCAUCCCAUCAGAUGUGCCCAGAUGGGAUUAGCUAGUGGGUGGGGUAACGGCUCACCAAGGCGGCGAACCCUAGCUGGUCUGAGAGGAUGACCUGCAACACGGGAACUGAGAAACGGUCCGGAGUCCUACGGGAGGCAGCAGUGGGGAAUAUCGCACAAGGGGCGCAGGCCGGAUACAGCCAGGCCGCGUGUAUGAAGAAGGCCUUCGGGUGGUAAAGUACUUUCAGCGGGGAGGCGGUACCCGAAGAAGAAGCACCGGCUAACUCCGUGCCAGCAGCCGCGGUAAUUC
rnacentral:rRNA from 1 species